UGUGCUGCAUCUUUUAAGGGGAUGGCAACCAAGACCACGGGAUCUGGCCUAAUGAGACAGUGAAAACUGGAUGUGAGAAGAGCAAGAAAAGAAAGAAUGGAUCCACCUGAGCAGCGAGGAUUGAUUGGAGCUAAACAGACACACGAACCAAAGUGAACACCUGAAGGGAAACUAGAAUGGACUUCAUCAUAAUUUUUUUAAAACUAC
rnacentral:lncRNA from 1 species